ensembl:processed_transcript
GUGGAAUUAGAUGUUCUCAAGGCAUCACACAACAUGGGUCAGCUAAAAAGGAAAGCCACAAAUUACUUAGACCGACAAAGACUCUAGGUAAGUGAAAUGAUAUCAAAUUAAUUUGGUGACACAAUCGGGUGUCACCAAACUUGGUGUGUAUGUCAAUUUAAAGAAUUGACGAAGGGCGUCAUGAAAGAUGUCAGGCAUACACAAGCCCAGAUAGCUGAGAUAUUCCUGAUCCAGCACUUUAACUUGAAGCUCAUGCUACUACAAAGCUGUCACUAAUUACUACAGUCCUUGAUUUAACAUGGUGGUGUUAGAGCUUAGUAAGCUACACUUGAAGUUUUGAUAAGUUGGAUUAAUCAUAUUUUUUAAUUAACAGGAUCAAGUGAGCUGUAUCAG